CUUCUAGAUCAAUUUUCUGAAUCCACAGGUCUCCAGAUUAAUUUCCAAAAGAGUACGUUUGCUCCUAUCCACGUUGAUGAUGAUCUCUCUACCUACCUCGCCUCGAUCCUAGGAUGUAAUGUGGCCACCUUCCCCCAAUCCUACCUUGGCCUGCCGCUCUCUACAAAAAAGCUAAAGCUGGCUGAUUUCUUCUUCAUCAUCGAUAAGAUAGAUAGACGGCUGGCUGGUUGGCGUGGCCUUUUACUUUCCUUGGCCGGGAGGGCAAUCUUGGUGCGUGCCGCUCUUCGAGCCCUCCCGAUCUAUGCUAUGGGUGCGCUGUUGUUGCCGGCCGGAACGCUUCUAGAGAUUGAUAAAGGCUGUCGUGCAUUCUUCUGGUCUGGGCAAGACUCGAUUACUGGCGGGUAA
rnacentral:rRNA from 1 species